UUUAGAUUGAAUGAUUGUCAUUUGUAAUGGUAGGCCUACUUCGACUAAAUUAUUAUCAGUCACUCGAUUCACUGCAUGACUGCACUUGGUUUGGUUACCGGUACCUAAUUGAUGGAUCAAACAGACAGAUUAUCUUUAAAAUUUGAUGAUUGGGUUCAUUUUUAGCUUUGAUUAGACCUAAGACCGAUAUGGCUUCACCCACCUGCAUUUUUUAAAUUGAUAAUGAGUAAUCAUAGAAGCUGAUUAUUUUAAACUUCUUGAAUUUCAACAUGGUUUCACCCUCAAAAUAUAUAAAUAAUAUCAAAUUAAAUGAAUCAUGGGGGGGGUUGGGAUGGCCUAGUGGUCUAGAGUGCCGCGCUUCGACCUCUAGCUGGGCGGUCACCUCUGGCUUGCGGCUGUGGUUUCGAUCCCUGGUGUGAGCGUAUGUGGCCUGGAGAUAGGGGCGCCUUCUCAACCUCGUGGGUUUACUCUGGGUACUCCGGUUUCAUCCCACAGGAAAGACCCCCGCGCGUGCGCUAAGAUAAUGAAAAUGAAAAAUAAGACUUUUCUGCGAUAUCACCUUCGGUGGAAGCGGACGUUAAACGCUGAGAACAACAACAACAACAAAUGAAUCAUUCAUUAGAUUUAUUUCUGCACUUUUGAACUUGAUAAUUAUUAUGACUGACAGUGUCCUAUGUGUUUAAUAAAUUCAUUGGUGCCAAUGAAGAAGCAGUUACUUGUGAUGCCUGUGGUAAAUGGACACCUAAGACAUGUAGAACAGGUCCGACAAAUUUCUUGUGUGCAUUUUGGUUUUACAGGUAUUUCGAAAGCUGUCUAUUUGAGGUCAGUCAAAAGUGGGAGUGAUCUACCAUUCUUUUGCUGGGCAUGCCAGGUGGAAUCAUGUAAUUCAUUACCAGAUGUUGACAUCCCCCCACCCCCACCGUCUCUACUUUACCAAUUAUGCCAGACCCAGAAGCAACUCAUGCUGCCCAACCUUCAACAUGAUCAGCAUCAUCCACAUCAAGGACAAUUAGAUCUUUACGGAAGCUGCAAUUACAUGUAACGUCAUCCGAAACCACCCCUCCGAGACCAAAAAGAGGGAAAAGACAAAAAGGGAAAACUGAGGCAACAAGGGAGAGGGUCGAAAGACUCAAAAAAGAAAAAAACUGAGGGACUGAAGAAACUGGUAAGUGGAUGGAUGUAGGAUACUUUUGUUGUCUGUGGCUGAAAAAAUGCCACAUUUGACAUUUCUGAAGAACUAAGAAACCAACAGCCAAUCCAACCCCCAUAUCCAACCUCAACUGCACCAGAUUGGUGUUCCUAUGACAGAUGUGGAGAUAUGCCAACAGAUAUUGAGAAGUUAUGUUGCGGUACCAGACUAGAGAAUUGUAUUUCAUUACCACCAGAGUUUGAACAGUAUUGUUUAGAGCCACAAGUUCUGUAUCUUGCUAAUGUAUAUAGAAACGGUGACGGCAUGACAAGAAAGAAAAUUGAAACAUCCGGGGAAUUGAGCAUUGACUAGAUUGACCAGCUUCGAAUAUGUUAGCCUAUUGGACAGUGUGAUUGUACGUGUUUCCAAUAAGCGUAGUUGUCUAAAUACGAAAAUAUCAGCUAAUAUAUACUUUUGAUUGAUAUUGGUUUGUAUGAUUAUAAAGAUAAGCAACUAAAAUUGUAAAAAAAAAAACCAAAACACUUGAACAUAUAAAAAAUUAUUCCAGUUGCUG